rnacentral:rRNA from 1 species
GAUGAACGCUGGCGGCGUGCCUAAUACAUGCAAGUCGAGCGAACAGACGAGGAGCUUGCUCCUCUGACGUUAGCGGCGGACGGGUGAGUAACACGUGGAUAACCUACCUAUAAGACUGGGAUAACUUCGGGAAACCGGAGCUAAUACCGGAUAAUAUAUUGAACCGCAUGGUUCAAUAGUGAAAGACGGUUUUGCUGUCACUUAUAGAUGGAUCCGCGCCGGAUUAGCUAGUUGGUAAGGUAACGGCUUACCAAGGCGACGAUGCGUAGCCGACCUGAGAGGGUGAUCGGCCACACUGGAACUGAGACACGGUCCAGACUCCUACGGGAGGCAGCAGUAGGGAAUCUUCCGCAAUGGGCGAAAGCCUGACGGAGCAACGCCGCGUGAGUGAUGAAGGUCUUCGGAUCGUAAAGCUCUGUUAUUAGGGAAGAACAACUGUGUAAGUAACUAUGCACGUCUUGACGGUACCUAAUCAGAAAGCCACGGCUAACUACGUG